rnacentral:tmRNA from 1 species
GGGGUUGUUUGGAUUUGACAGCGGGCAGAAAUGGUAUGUAAGCAUGCAGUGCGUCGGUGAUUAGCACUAUAAUCACAGUUACCGAACAAUUAUCUGGCGAAAACAACUACGCUCUCGCUGCUUAAUCGAAGCAUAGUAGAUUAACUUUAUUUCUGCACAAGGUGCGGAAACGAGACAUCACUCGGAAGCUGUUGCUCCGAAGCAUUCCGGUUCAGUGGUGCAGUUACAUCGGGGAUAGUUCGUACUUGCCUCGGAGUGCGAAUGAAACUUUAGAGGAUAAGGUAACGGUUGAUGGCUUUGGUUCUG